UGUUUAUAUUUUUACAUAAAUUUCAAUUUCUAUAUGUCCUUCUCUGGCUAUUCAUUAUAACACAGGUAGGAUGAUUACUUUUUAUCAUAAUCUUGUUUUCACAUAAUUCACACAAAAAUUGUAAUCUAUGUUUGUUCUUAGUGGUUAUAUUCAGAAUAAAAUUAGUUAACAGCUAAUAUAUGCAUUAACUACCGUAUCGCAGAUGUACUACAUACUUUAAGAGUACUUAUAAUCUUACUUCCAUGGCAUGUUAAAUGAAUGAAGAACUUUGUACAAAGACAGGUUUACGAUAUCAAAUGAAUAUUCAAAAUCAAGCUUACAAAAAGGUAUUUGCAUCUACGGUGGCCAUUCGCUUUAUAAAACAAAUUAAAACAUGACCACUUCCUUUUAUUUGUCUUCAAGUUUAAAAAGGAGAAAUAUAUGUGUAAAGGGUAAAAAAAAUCAAAUGUUGUUACAAAAUUGCAAGAUAAAAUGGACUUAAAUUGUAUGCUAUUAAACUGAUCUUUUGCAUUUUUAAGAAUUCACAUCUGUUUCACACCACCUCUAGAAAUAGCAUUUUCACAAUAUAUAAACCAGGCUAUAAAUGUUAAUAACAUUGAUGUUAAUAGUUUAGGAAGAGGUAUCGUGGAGCUCAUAGAAGACCCAGCGGUAUAACGUUUUUUGUAAGGACAUUUGCGUAACUUGAGUAUCCAACAACUUCCUGGUAAUCUUGUCUACUAAUAUGUUUUAUCAUACUAAACAUUAAUAAGAAAGGUUCAGUUAAACAACAUUUGUCUUGCACUUCAGGACGUUAUAAAAUGAAGAAGUGUCUCAGUCGAUUUUACAAAAAGGAAAAGACAGUCAAAAACAUUUCGAUAUUGUUAUGAAUUUUUUCCUCGCUGGUGUUUAAACAUGACUAAUUAGUUGUUGAUUGAUUAAGGGCAAAAUAAAUUGUUUCAUGUAGGUCCAGGACUUAUAAAUCAAAAACACGAAAAUAAAGGUAAAAUGUAUUGUAUGUCAAUUGAAGAUCAAAUAUAUAUAUAAAAAGUGUGAUUAUACAUUUUACAGUAUUUAACGAGGUUGUACAAACGAUAUAUAUGCUUUUUUACAGGAUGUACCCAAGUCUUUGUAUUUUCAACAAUAGGAUAAUUCUCCAUGCAGUAUUUGUAUUUUCAAUAAUAGGAUAAUUCUCCAUGCAGUAUGAAGCAAGUUUUGUUUUUCAAGACAUUACUGAUACUUUCGGUGUUCAGUGGCUACUGUUACAAAAACAACAUCGUACAAGAAAAAACUGGGGGAAAUUUCUUCUGUAAACAGUUUUAUCAACAUAAUGAAUUACACGUUGAUUGUUCUUAUAAAAACCUGACAGUUGUCCCAGAUAUACCAGCUGACACGGUUUACCUCUAUCUACAACAUAACAUAAUCGGACAAAUACCUAAUAAAACCUUUGAACAUUUGAACAAGCUAGAUUUGUUAGAUCUAUCUUUCAACACAGUUAAUAUAACCAAUGAGGAUGCAUUCCCAGGUCAGCAGAAUCUGCGCUUUCUUUAUCUAAAAACUGGUUUACAAUAUUAUACUGAUACGAGAAUACGUUUGCCAAAGAAUGUAUUCAAACAUUUAUUCAAUCUUACAGUUUUGGAUCUAUCCGCCAAUAUCAUGUACGUUAAUGAAUACACAUUUAGUGGACUUAUAAAUUUGCAGCACC
rnacentral:lncRNA from 1 species